rnacentral:rRNA from 1 species
AUUGAAAUACCACAUUGAAAACACCGGUUCUCGUCCGAUCACCGAAGUUAAGCAAUGUCGGACCCGGUCAGUACUUGGGAGGGUGACCACCUGGGAACACUGGGUGAUGAAAGCU